rnacentral:lncRNA from 10 species
GCAGUGCUCCCUAGACGCCUAGGUAGCUGCGCGGCCCGUCCGGCAGUGUCUGAUGGUAGGGGCAGAUGGUGGAGACAGGUGGGUUCUAGGUGCGUUAGGAAGGUGUAUAGACCUGGGGCUCAGGUGUGGGAAGGGGCCAGCGAGUGAGAGAAGCUCGGCCUGGGGAAGAGGCUCUGAGAGGAUGGGCAUCCCAGGAGUGAGAGUUUCGAGAUUUCUUCGGGAAAGACGGGGUUUUGGGAAAUGUGCUGUGGUGCUGUCUGUAUGUCACACGAUCUGCGAGGAGCUGCGAGAUUAAAGGGGACGUGCGUAUAUCGAGCCCCUCAUUCAUUCGUUCAGAAAAUGGUUAUUUUUUAAGCAUCCAGCUUCCGCUGCGUACCGUUCUAGGCGCUGAGAAUCAGCUCUGAACAUGACAGACAAGGCUCCUGUUCUCAUGGAGCUUAAUUCUGGUGGAGGGACGACAGACACUAACCAAAAGAGUGGCUAAGAAGGAACACACAAGCGGAGACUCCUUCUAGUGAACUCAGCCUCCAACUCUGUGUAACUUAGGUCUGUCCGUGCCCUCUAACCAAAUCCCACCAGGAAGACACGGAUCGUUGAACAAGCUGGGUUUAUUACUAGUUGCAGUGACUGAGAACACACAUUGAGGAACGAUAGGGCCUCUCGGUAAGAGUUGUUAGUGAUUUGGGAGAGGGUUUAAGGAAGUGAGAGCUUCACUGGAUUAGAUACUGUCAGGAAGAGAGGGUCGUUCCAUGAUUGAGCAUCUCAGUUCAUCUUAUCUAGAGGAAGGGAAUUCUAGAUUGAGGCUAAAGCUGUGCAGAUAAAGAAACAGCAGCCUGGCCGGGCGCAGUGGCUCACGCCUGUAAUCCCAGCACUUUGGUAAACCGAGGCAGGCGAAUUGCUUGAGCGCAGGAGUUCCAGACCAGCCUGGGCAACAUGGCGAAACUCUUCUCUACAAAAAAUACAAAAAUGAACCGGGCCUGGUGGUGCGCGCCUGUCAUCUCAGUUACUUGG